UUAACACAUGCAAGUCGAGGGGCAGCAUGGUCUUAGCUUGCUAAGACUGAUGGCGACCGGCGCACGGGUGAGUAACACGUAUCCAACCUGCCGUCUACUCUUGGACAGCCUUCUGGAAGGAAGAUUAAUACAAGAUGGCAUCAUGAGUCCGCAUGUUCACAUGAUUAAAGGUAUUCCGGUAGACGAUGGGGAUGCGUUCCAUUAGAUAGUAGGCGGGGUAACGGCCCACCUAGUCUUCGAUGGAUAGGGGUUCUGAGAGGAAGGUCCCCCACAUUGGAACUGAGACACGGUCCAAACUCCUACGGGAGGCAGCAGUGAGGAAUAUUGGUCAAUGGGCGAGAGCCUGAACCAGCCAAGUAGCGUGAAGGAUGACUGCCCUAUGGGUUGUAAACUUCUUUUAUAAAGGAAUAAAGUCGGGUAUGCAUACCCGUUUGCAUGUACUUUAUGAAUAAGGAUCGGCUAACUCCGUGCCAGCAGCCGCGGUAAUACGGAGGAUCCGAGCGUUAUCCGGAUUUAUUGGGUUUAAAGGGAGCGUAGAUGGAUGUUUAAGUCAGUUGUGAAAGUUUGCGGCUCAACCGUAAAAUUGCAGUUGAUACUGGAUAUCUUGAGUGCAGUUGAGGCAGGCGGAAUUCGUGGUGUAGCGGUGAAAUGCUUAGAUAUCACGAAGAACUCCGAUUGCGAAGGCAGCCUGCUAAGCUGCAACUGACAUUGAGGCUCGAAAGUGUGGGUAUCAAACAGGAUUAGAUACCCUGGUAGUCCACACGGUAAACGAUGAAUACUCGCUGUUUGCGAUAUACUGCAAGCGGCCAAGCGAAAGCGUUAAGUAUUCCACCUGGGGAGUACGCCGGCAACGGUGAAACUCGAAGGAAUUGACGGGGGCCCGCACAAGCGGAGGAACAUGUGGUUUAAUUCGAUGAUACGCGAGGAACCUUACCCGGGCUUAAAUUGCAGAUGAAUUACGGUGAAAGCCGUAAGCCGCAAGGCAUCUGUGAAGGUGCUGCAUGGUUGUCGUCAGCUCGUGCCGUGAGGUGUCGGCUUAAGUGCCAUAACGAGCGCAACCCUUGUUGUCAGUUACUAACAGGUUCCGCUGAGGACUCUGACAAGACUGCCAUCGUAAGAUGUGAGGAAGGUGGGGAUGACGUCAAAUCAGCACGGCCCUUACGUCCGGGGCUACACACGUGUUACAAUGGGGGGUACAGAGGGCCGCUACCACGCGAGUGGAUGCCAAUCCCCAAAACCUCUCUCAGUUCGGACUGGAGUCUGCAACCCGACUCCACGAAGCUGGAUUCGCUAGUAAUCGCGCAUCAGCCACGGCGCGGUGAAUACGUUCCCGGGCCUUGUACACACCGCCCGUCAAGCCAUGGGAGCCGGGGGUACCUGAAGUGCGUAACCGCGAGGAGCGCCCUAGGGUAAAACUGGUGACUGGGGC
rnacentral:rRNA from 1 species